GUAGGUGAACCUGCGGAGGGAUCAUUACAAGUGACCCCGGUCUUACCACCGGGAUGUUCAUAACCCUUUGUUGUCCGACUCUGUUGCCUCCGGGGCGACCCUGCCUUCGGGCGGGGGCUCCGGGUGGACACUUCAAACUCUUGCGUAACUUUGCAGUCUGAGUAAACUUAAUUAAUAAAUUAAAACUUUUAACAACGGAUCUCUUGGUUCUGGCAUCGAUGAAGAACGCAGCGAAAUGCGAUAAGUAAUGUGAAUUGCAGAAUUCAGUGAAUCAUCGAAUCUUUGAACGCACAUUGCGCCCCCUGGUAUUCCGGGGGGCAUGCCUGUUCGAGCGUCAUUUCACCACUCAAGCCUCGCUUGGUAUUGGGCAACGCGGUCCGCCGCGUGCCUCAAAUCGACCGGCUGGGUCUUCUGUCCCCUAAGCGUUGUGGAAACUAUUCGCUAAAGGGUGUUCGGGAGGCUACGCCGUAAAACAACCCCAUUUCUAAGGUUGACCUCGGAUCAGGUAGGGAUACCCGCUGAACUUAAGCAUAUCAAUAAGCGGAGGAAAAGAAACCAACAGGGAUUGCUCUAGUAACGGCGAGUGAAGCAGCAAUAGCUCAAAUUUGAAAUCUGGCGUCUUCGACGUCCGAGUUGUAAUUUGUAGAGGAUGCUUCUGAGUAACCACCGACCUAAGUUCCUUGGAACAGGACGUCAUAGAGGGUGAGAAUCCCGUAUGCGGUCGGAAAGGUGCUCUAUACGUAGCUCCUUCGACGAGUCGAGUUGUUUGGGAAUGCAGCUCUAAAUGGGAGGUAAAUUUCUUCUAAAGCUAAAUAUUGGCCAGAGACCGAUAGCGCACAAGUAGAGUGAUCGAAAGAUGAAAAGCACUUUGGAAAGAGAGUUAAAAAGCACGUGAAAUUGUUAAAAGGGAAGGGAUUGCAACCAGACUUGCUCGCGGUGUUCCGCCGGUCUUCUGACCGGUCUACUCGCCGCGUUGCAGGCCAGCAUCGUCUGGUGCCGCUGGAUAAGACUUGAGGAAUGUAGCUCCCUCGGGAGUGUUAUAGCCUCUUGUGAUGCAGCGAGCGCCGGGCGAGGUCCGCGCUUCGGCUAGGAUGCUG
rnacentral:rRNA from 1 species